ensembl:lncRNA
CGCUGUCGAGCCGGUAAGUUGGUCCCUCGCAUGCUCCCUAGCUAACAUGCUAAUGAACAGUUAGCUCACAUUGUUUAUUCUGGUAAACCGCUAUAAAAGCUGGAUGACACGAGGUGUCCUUUCCGAGGACACUAACCCCUCUAUGUUCAUCGAAGUCACAGCUAAACAGAAGCAGCGUUCAGUUUAUCUGCUCCACAUAUCAGGAACAAAGUCCCAGACAGCUGCAGGUCUGCGGAGUCCCUCAACUCCUUUAAAUGCUGAUUUCUUUAUAUUAUCUUGUAUGUUUUAAUCAUUGUCCUUAACUGUUAAGUUUAGAUGUAUUCAAUGUUAAACACUUUGAAUGACCUUUUUUGUUAUGAAGUGCUACGCAAAUGCUUUACCAACAUUUAUAACAAAUACCACAGAGUUAACACACACAACCUCAUGCUAUUAUUGAAAAACCUUCUCACCUUACCUUGGACGUCUUGAGUUUUGUGAACCUAGGCUUCUCAACAAGUAAACUACCCAGUUAGUGCAUUUCCGUGAGGGAGUAUGUGUGAAUCGCUCCGUAUACGAGUACUCCAGAACUGGUUGUACAGAUACUCUCUGUGAAAGGCUGCGACGUGUCACAACCAUCCAAAACGAAAGCUGAUCUGUGCUGUUUGCAGAAGGCGUAACCACAUGAACCACAUUUUUGUUUAAUCAGCAUGUGAGCAUGAAUGUACUUUUUAAAGUUAUGAUCUGUUUAUUAAUGAUCCGUCUAAAUAUCUCAAUGUUUGGGCAUUUAUUUACUGCAGCUUUCUUCUAUUUAUCUGCCAUAAGUGUUGUAACAAUCUGUGAAGACCAGUGAGGUGAAUGUUUCUCUUCUCUUCCUCAGGUGAACGCGGCGCCACCAGGUGACUGAAAUAAAGACUUUAAAUAUGUGAAGUAUUUACUGAGAAAAACAAACGAGACGUUUAGAUAUACUGAUGAAUGAAACAGAGUGAACGUUGUAUUGUUUGUUUCUUGAGUACUUGAGUGAGAAGUUUUGUCAGAAUAAAUGCGUAAAUAUGAGCACUUCUACAAGCCGUCAUUGGCGGACUAUGAGGACGCGCGGAUGGCAUCUAAUGCACGGAGGGAGAUCGCCGCAAACGCCGGGUUUGCCCGUCGAGGGGAACAAAGUUGUGGAGGAAAAUACGGGACAAAUGUGUCCGCGAUGAAAAGCAGCAGAGGCGAUGCACGAGGCAAUAAAGUCUAU